GACAUCGGUUUUAGAAGGACGCUCUCCCAGCCCAAGCUCAGGCCUUUUGUGCGUCCGGGCCUUCUGGACAUCCAGACUGCGAUUAGCCUCCAGGCGCAGAGUUCACUGGCCCUGGAACCAGGUGCCGAAAGGUCCGCAGGACUCUGUCGUCGAGGGGAGACGCCCCAUUUUAGCUGUCGCGACCCCUGGAGGCCAAGGUCGAGGCCUGAGAGAAACUUUUCUCCGUCCCAGUCUUGAGCAUCCCCUGGGCUUUGCCCCCCAGGGAACCUGGUUGGAAACAGUUACCGAGAACUGCACCCUGUUCAGGGCAAAGUCUUCAGGAGUGAGUGAAAACUUGAAGAAGCUCCAGGCCCCUAAAAGUGUCUCCUUUCAACGGGCCGCUCCACUUUAGAGGGUGGAGUUGAGGUCGGUAACCCUAGGGUAGAGCAACCGGAAGAAUGGCGCCUUUGUCCGGGCUGCGGAGCGUCCCUCUUCUCCGCCCUUUCCCUGGAGCUUGGCGAAGGUAGGGGACAAGAGAGGCCAAGUUCUCUGCAGCAGCCAGUCAAGCUGAGGACCAAAGAGUUCUCCAUGGAAUCAGGCCAUCAGGUAAGCAGACUUAGAUGCCCAGCUCUCUGCACUUUCCCCCACUUGUCUUCCUCAAAAUCUCAGGCAAAAGUUGAGGAGAGAGUUUUGAACUACAAUAAAACUUCAACUAAACAGGUACCCGAGAGAAAAGUCCUUGUGGUGUUCUGAGUGUUCUGCUUGAGUGUUAGUAAAAAGCUCCAAAUUAUUUUGUUCCAGCUCCUUCGUUGGAAAACAGUUUUAAAAUUUUAAAGUAAACUUUCCUAUCAUGGUAAAUAAAUCAAGGACUCCUACCUUUGGGGGAGAAGAAGUGACUUUGUGUUUCCCUAAAACCUUGUGAUGAAUGGAGAAUGAAGCAUUUUCAAGGACGGAUGCAGGCAAUGAAGCCCCUGAAUAGAAAAAUUAAAAAAUAGUCUCCCCAAAUCGAGAACUCCAGGGCACCACUGAAGGAUGCACCAGGCUGUCACAGGUACUCUCAGAUUCUUACCCCUCUGUGGACUCUUGAGGAGAAGACACAGCAAGCCUACUGUAUCCUUUUUGGAGGCAAAGGGUCUUAAGAUGCUUCACGGUUAUCACUGAGACAUCUUCUAGACAGAUGCAGAGGAUGUCAAAAGCUAAGUAGAGUCAAAUCUGGCCUCAGUGCAUAUGUUGAUCGUUUUCUUUUUUUUUUAAUUUAAUUCUUUCAUGUCACUUCCUUAUAUGCCCCUUCCAGAUAACGGAGCUGAGAAUAAUCAGUUGAUGGGUGUGUUCUGGUUAGUUGAAGCCCAGAAAGCCAAGGCAGAAGAUGACUUCUUUGAUGAAUACUUGCCGUCUUAUCCCCCUGUGGAGACCUGGUUAGUGAUGUUUACACCUGGGUCUCUCCUCCAGGUACAAAGUCAUGCCCUUCUUCUCCUCUGUAGGGCAGAGAGUGACAUUUCAAAGGGAGAAGAUGAGAGGUUAUUUCUUUUAGCCCCAAAAGCUUUGGGUCACUGUGACCCCAAGAUCUUCUCCAUUGAGGAAGUGAAAGCUUUUCCUCUCUCUCUUCCUCUCAUUCCCCCUAGCAUAUUGCAAAUGGUGUUGGGACCUAAUGUUGUCAACUCAAAUAGCAAAUCUGAGUUGUUAUUAGUGCAAAGAUGCCCUGAGGGGGCAGGCAGUGUGGAUGAAAUCUGCAAUGGAUGUACGGGGAAGUGUGUUUAUAAUUAUAAUGGGAUUUAAUGUACACUGGGACCAGAUGACUGCAGCCGUUUAAAAAAGAGAGGCUUAAUAAGAGAGAAGAGAGGUCCCUUAAUGACAGGCAGCAGGGCUCAGGUUAUUAGGACGAGGCACGGUGUUUCACGGGGUGUCACAAACCACGUGCCCAGUUUUAUGGGGUUCCUGACAAAGCUUUGGGGUAAGACAUAGCAACCUUGGCUGUCCGUUCUUGGGCAUAAUGUUUUAAUGUUGUCUCUCACAGGGGUACCUGCUCUUCAGAGAAAGGCGUUUUUUUCCCUCCCGUUCAGAUACACAUCCGGCCCCAGGCCAACACUGAGUAGUUUGGGUGUUCUCUUGAAAUCUGAUUUGUUCUGAGAAAGACGGCCUUAAUUUCAAAACUGAAAUUUUGUAACUGUCGAGGGGUGCAUAUCGUGUGCAUGAAACAAAACGGCGUGACUAAUGGGAGUCCCACAGUGAAUUCCCCGGGUGCCUCGCUGAGAAUUAACCCCCAAGUCCUCAUCAGAAAUAGGGUUUGGUGGUUUUUUGUUUUUGUUUUUUUUUUCAUUUAACACUUUGGUGUUUCAGGUAAGCCAGGAAGUGAGGAAGUAUGUAACAUUUUCUUACCCUGCUUAACUUUUUAAAUAGCUAACUGUUCAACUUUUGAGGUGGUUUAACAGGUUUGAAUCCACAGCCGCUGUUUUAUAAAAGGAGAGCUACUGUCAUGCACACAACCUGGAAGGGUGUGCGGAGAACGUGCCACACUCCAGAAGUGUCACCUAAAGUACCGUGGUCCAGAAAUACAACUCACAUCCACGUUGCAUUAUUCUAUAUAUUUCUCUUCAGAUGUGAGAGGAGUGUAUGAAAGCUAGUGUGUUCAUCUAAUAAAGGCUUCAUCCAUG